GAUGAACGCUAGCGGCAGGCUUAAUACAUGCAAGUCGUGGGGCAGCAGGAAGUAGCAAUACUUUGCUGGCGACCGGCAAACGGGUGCGUAACACGUACGCAACUUUCCCUUUACUGGAAGAUAGCCCACCGAAAGGUGGAUUAAUACUCCAUAUUAUGAUGAAACGGCAUCGUUUUAUUAUCGAAGCUCAGGCGGUAAAGGAUGGGCGUGCGGCUGAUUAGAUAGUUGGCGGGGUAACGGCCCACCAAGUCUACGAUCAGUAGCUGAUGUGAGAGCAUGAUCAGCCACACGGGCACUGAGACACGGGCCCGACUCCUACGGGAGGCAGCAGUAAGGAAUAUUGGUCAAUGGACGCAAGUCUGAGCCAGCCAUGCCGCGUGAAGGAUGAAGGUCCUCUGGAUUGUAAACUUCUUUUAUAUGGGACGAAACACUUUCUUUCUAGAGAGCUUGACGGUACCAUAGGAAUAAGCACCGGCUAACUCCGUGCCAGCCGCCGCAGUAA
rnacentral:rRNA from 1 species